GUGAGGAAUAUUGCGCAAUGGAGGCAACUCUGACGCAGCCAUGCCGCGUGCAGGAAGAAGGCGCUACGCGUUGUAAACUGCUUUUAACCGGGAAGAAACCCCAGGACGUGUCCUGGGUUGACGGUACCGGAGGAAUAAGCACCGGCUAACUUCGUGCCAGCAGCCGCGGUAAUACGAAGGGUGCAAGCGUUAUCCGGAUUCAUUGGGUUUAAAGGGUGCGUAUGCGGAGCGUUAAGUCAGUGGUGAAAUCCUGCAGCUUAACUGUAGACUUGCCAUUGAUACUGGCGCUCUUGAGUGCGCUUGAAGUGGGCGGAAUGUGCCGUGUAGCGGUGAAAUGCUUAGAUAUGGCACAGAACACCAAUUGCGAAGGCAGCUCACUAAGGCGAUACUGACGCUGAGGCACGAAAGCGUGGGGAUCGAACAGGAUUAGAUACCCGUGUAGUCC
rnacentral:rRNA from 1 species